UAGCAGUAGGGAAUCUUCGGCAAUGGGGGCAACCCUGACCGAGCAACGCCGCGUGAGUGAAGAAGGUUUUCGGAUCGUAAAGCUCUGUUGUAAGAGAAGAACGUGUGUGAGAGUGGAAAGUUCACACAGUGACGGUAACUUACCAGAAAGGGACGGCUAACUACGUGCCAGCAGCCGCGGUAAUACGUAGGUCCCGAGCGUUGUCCGGAUUUAUUGGGCGUAAAGCGAGCGCAGGCGGUUUAAUAAGUCUGAAGUUAAAGGCAGUGGCUUAACCAUUGUUCGCUUUGGAAACUGUUAGACUUGAGUGCAGAAGGGGAGAGUGGAAUUCCAUGUGUAGCGGUG
rnacentral:rRNA from 1 species